rnacentral:ncRNA from 1 species
CUGGUUGAUCCUGCCAGUAGUCAUAUGCUUGUCUCAAAGCUUAAGCCAUGCAAGUGUAAGUUCAUGCCAUAAACGAAUGGUGAAACCGCGAAAUGCUCAGGAACCGGACCUAAUCCUCGGGAUCGUAUUCCUCUUCGCAAGGAGAGUGGAUAACUGUGGAUAACACAUUUACAAAACUUCAUUUUAAAUAUGUGAUGUCAUUAGUCAUACCACUUGUAUGUGUAGAAGGUGAUACGUUAAGUAGAACCCAAAAUUCAAAAUAAUUUGCUGGAAAACAAAAUAUUUUAGGAAUUGUCUUUAUUUUGGAAAAUGAUCUGAGACCAUGUGUGAAAACUGAACUAUACAAUGGAAGAGUCAUUAGUAUGUCCAUAUAUGGACAUACAUAAGGUGGUGAGCUGGCAGAAUCGUUUGCAUGCUGGGUAACAUGCUGCGCAGCAUUUCAUCCAUCUUCACAUUCUGAGUUCAAAUU